GCCGAGGUAGCCUAGUCCGGUAAGGCGCCAGAUUCGAGAUCUGGUUCUCGCUAUGCGAGAGCGCAGGUUCAAAUCCUGCCCUCGGCG
rnacentral:tRNA from 1 species